UUUUUAUGUGCAUUGGUGUAUAUUUGUGUGAGGGUGUCAGAUCUUGGAUUACAGACAGUUGUGAGCUGCCAUGUGGAUGCUGGGAAGUGAACCCCAGUCCUCUAGAAGAGCAGUCAGUGCUCUUACCUGCUGAGCCAUCUCUCCAGCCCUCAAUGGAAGCACUUUCCAGCUUUCCCGUGAUGCAUCUGAAUUGCCAGCCAUCAAUGCUCUUUGGCUUUGGGGCCCUCUUAAGUAAAGCAAGCACUGUAAUAGUGUAUAACAUCCGUGCUGAUAACAGAUGACUACUAAGUGACCAACAGGCGGGUAGUAUAUACAGCAUGGAUAUGGUAGACAAAGAGAUUAGCAGUCACGGAAGGGGUCUUGGACACCAGCCAACCCAGCAGUUCAUUCUACAGUACAGAGCCCAGAAGUGAAUUCCCUAGGGUUUCACACGCACAGGGUGGGUACAACAGUCACGAGAGCUGGAAUGUGCCAUCGGAUCUCAAUAGUCUGUUUUACUACGUAACCACAGAAUUCCUUCUCCUUUCUCUCCCAGUCUCUCCAUGAACCCGGACCACUUUCUUGACUCCAUUCUUCGGUGACCACAGUUAUUCUAACUUUGUUGCUCUUUCAGCCUCAAGUGGGUUUCUGGCAUUCCUAGUUCCUAAUUCAGUUAUGCAAGACCUCAGCAUAAUUUAACCAACAUGAGUUAGCGGGGGUGAGAAACUAUGUAGACACUUUCAUCAAUAUCAGCUUUUUUUUUUAAUAGCCUCAUAUGACGUUUUUACAUGCUCUCCCCAAACUCAGUGUCCUAGGCUAAUUAUCAUUCCUUUUGGAAAGAGCCUCCUGUGCUGAACACACUUCUUCCUCAGAGUUUUCCUGUGGCUCGUGAUGGGUUAGAACUCUUUCUGGUCAAAAGCAAGUGCAAUCUGGUAUUCUUCCCAUGAACUGAGUAGGCUCCAUCUGAACAAAUUGAUUCAUUAAUGGGGAAAGAUACAAAUAUCCAGUUAUAUAUACAGUGACCAAGGAAAAGCAUGGGGUGAGCUCUCAACUUGUACUAGGUCUUCGAAUUUCUCAAGGAAGACAAGGGUGGUGCCCAGGAGAGGGAGCAGGGACUCUGAUUCGCUUUUGCAAAUAUUUUCCUUUCCUAUCUCUACUCUUUGUCAGUCUCUCUGGAGUCACCAGGCCGACAAGAACUGGACAGUUUCUUUGAGCAAAUCAUUUUUGCCUAGAAAUCCUGCAGGACAGGACAUUCACUACAUAGCUGGGGUCCAGCCACCUGAGGGACAUGGAAAGGCCGCCAUCGAAUGCCUGCAGCAUGAGAAGUCCCUCCCUCUGCUCUAUCUUUGUAAUCACUAAGAAUGUUGAUUCAUUAAAGUCCAAACUUCUGCUGGCACCAUCUUGGCCUCCCUGCCCUGCUUUGGCCUCUCAUGGUCACCUCCAUAAAAGCUCUGGGUGAGUCAGCAAUAUGAGAAAAAAAAGGAAAGAGGUGUGUUUCUGGCUCUCGCACACAUGACUCUGAGCAAGGAAGGACUGCAAACAAAGGCUUCGAGCUGAAACUGAAGGGUGUGGGAAGCUUCGCAGUGCCGGGCAAGCAAGGUUGAAGCAGCGUGUUCAGCAGGUCGGACAUGUGUACUUUCUUUCCAUUUAACAAUCAGAAAGGAACUAAGUCCCCACUGAACUGCAGGCAGCUUCUGAUGGUUCUUGUGGAAAAUGCCAGAGACGGUGCUAGGCAUCAAAAAACACUUGUCUUGGCUAGAGAUUGGAAUUCCUUCUUCCCCUGCACUGAAUUUUCCUUUUUGUCCCUCAGUUACUUGUGAUCUAAAACAUGUAUCCCUAUGUUAGCCUGCUUCAGUUGAUUUUGUAGAAGGUAGUUUUUGAGCUAAAGCAGCUGAACUCCAGAAGUGGAAUCUCCCUUCCAGCCAAGGACACACAUGGGGGUCAAAGGAACUUGAACCCCAUGGUGUGGUUGUGGCCUUGAAGCACCACCCUCCUGGGUGAUUCAGGUUGGCCCAAGAUGAUGUUAGCCUUCUCAUGCCUCCAUGGAAUGCUGCUAGGUAAGAGACAAAACCUCCACCCAAAACCUGGAGUCCCCUGUGUCCCCUCAUGGGCCAGCAGAUCCUUUGCAAGAAUCUUAAAUUGUCACCCUCGAAAUGAAGCUUAAACAUCAAGAGAAACAUUAUGAAAUCUGAUCUCUAUCUUCCUGGCAUAGGGGACAGCAUGGUAUUCGGCUGCAAACGCACACAAAACAACACCGUAGGGACAGGUCUCAGCCUGUUUCUGCAUCUUAGAACCCCUGUUAAAUCCCAGGGGACAGAGAGAAGCCCUAAGCAGGCCUGCCCCGGUACAAAUCCCAACUCCGUCAGUGAUUAAGUAUGAGUGCAAGGACAAGUUACUUGAUCUCCUUGAGUUUGGCCCCACUCCUGUUCAAUGUGAAUGAUAAUAGCCCCUGUCUCUCAGGGCCAUUGUAAGGAUUAAAUUAUAUUUGUAAAUGUUUAGAGGAAUGUACAUCAUAAAGUUGGCCCAAGAUGAUGUUAGCCUUUCAUGCCUCCAUGGAAUGGAGAUAGGUCAGAUCUCCUAGCUGUGCAAGCUCCAAGGCCUGAAUUCAGG
ensembl:lncRNA